GACAGAGGUCCCGAGCGUUAGGCGGAAUCACUGGGCUUAAAGCGUGUGUAGGCGGAUCGUUAAGUGCCUUGUGAAAUCCCAUGGCUUAACCAUGGAACUGCUUGGCAUACUGGCGGUCUUGAGCCACUUAGGGGCAACCGGAACAAAUGGUGGAGCGGUGAAAUGCGUAGAUAUCGUUUGGAACGCCAACGGUGAAAACAGACAGCUGGGAGUGUGCUGACGCUGAGACACGAAAGCCAGGGGAGCGAACGGG
rnacentral:rRNA from 1 species